rnacentral:rRNA from 1 species
ACACGACUACAUUAGAUACCCCCGUAGUCCUAGCCGUAAACGAUACUCGCUAGGUAUCGGCCACGGUGCGACCGUUGUCGGUGCCGUAGGGAAGCCGUGAAGCGAGCCACCUGGGAAGUACGGCCGCAAGGCUGAAACUUAAAGGAAUUGGCGGGGGAGCACCACAACGGGUGGAGCUUGCGGUUUAAUUGGAUUCAACGCCGGAAAUCUUACCGGGACCGACAGCAACAUGAAGGCCAGGCUGAAGACUUUGCCGGAUUAGCUG